GACGAACGCUGGCGGCGUGCUUAACACAUGCAAGUCGAGCGGUAAGGCCCUUUCGGGGGUACACGAGCGGCGAACGGGUGAGUAACACGUGGGUGACCUGCCCUCAGCUCUGGGAUAAGCCUGGGAAACCGGGGUCUAAUACCGGAUAUGACUCCACGACGCAUGUUGUGGGGUGGAAAGCCUUGUGCGGCUGAGGAUGGGCCCGCGGCCUAUCAGCUUGUUGGUGGGGUGANGGCCUACCAAGGCGACGACGGGUAGCCGGCCUGAGAGGGCGACCGGCCACACUGGGACUGAGACACGGCCCAGACUCCUACGGGAGGCAGCAGUGGGGAAUCUUGCGCAAUGGGCGAAAGCCUGACGCAGCGACGCCGCGUGAGGGAUGACGGCCU
rnacentral:rRNA from 1 species